GGAGGACCAUCUCCCAAGGCUAAAUACUCCCUAGUGACCGAUAGUGAACCAGUACCGUGAGGGAAAGGUGAAAAGCACCCCGGAAGGGGAGUGAAACAGUUCCUGAAACCGUGUGCCUACAAGUAGUUAGAGCCCGUUAAUGGGUGAUAGCGUGCCUUUUGUAGAAUGAACCGGCGAGUUACGAUUUGUUGCAAGGUUAAGCGGAAAAAGCGGAGCCGUAGCGAAAGCGAGUCUGAAUAGGGCGCAUAAGUAACAGGUCGUAGACCCGAAACCAGGUGAUCUACCCAUGUCCAGGAUGAAGGUAAGGUAAUACUUACUGGAGGUCCGAACCCACGCACGUUGAAAAGUGCGGGGAUGAGGUGUGGGUAGCGGAGAAAUUCCAAUCGAACUUGGAGAUAGCUGGUUCUCUCCGAAAUAGCUUUAGGGCUAGCCUCGAGGUAAAGAGUCAUGGAGGUAGAGCACUGUUUGGACUAGGGGCCCUUCUCGGGUUACCGAAUUCAGAUAAACUCCGAAUGCCAUGUACUUAUACUCGGGAGUCAGACUGCGAGUGAUAAGAUCCGUAGUCGAAAGGGAAACAGCCCAGACCACCAGUUAAGGUCCCCAAAUAUAUGUUAAGUGGAAAAGGAUGUGGGGUUGCUUAGACAACCAGGAUGUUGGCUUAGAAGCAGCCACCAUUGAAAGAGUGCGUAAUAGCUCACUGGUCGAGUGACCCCGCGCCGAAAAUGUACCGGGGCUAAACAUAUUACCGAAACUGUGGAUGAACCUCUUUAGAGGUUCGUGGUAGGAGAGCGUUCUAAGGGCGGUGAAGUCAGACCGGAAGGACUGGUGGAGCGCUUAGAAGUGAGAAUGCCGGUAUGAGUAGCGAAAGAAGGGUGAGAAUCCCUUCCACCGAAUAUCUAAGGUUUCCUGAGGAAGGCUCGUCCGCUCAGGGUUAGUCGGGACCUAAGCCGAGGCCGAUAGGCGUAGGCGAUGGACAACAGGUAGAGAUUCCUGUACCAGUGCUAAUUGUUUAACCGAUGGGGUGACACAGAAGGAUAGGGAAUCGCACGAAUGGAAAUGUGCGUCCAAGCAGUGAGUGUGAGAAGUAGGCAAAUCCGCUUCUCGCGAAGCAUGAGCUGUGAUGGGGAAGGAAAUUAAGUACGGAAGUUCCUGAUUUCACGCUGUCAAGAAAAGCCUCUAGGAAGAGUAGUACUGCCCGUACCGCAAACCGACACAGGUAGAUGAGGAGAGAAUCCUAAGGUGAGCGAGAGAACUCUCGUUAAGGAACUCGGCAAAAUGACCCCGUAACUUCGGGAGAAGGGGUGCUCUAUUAGGGUGCAAGCCCGAGAGAGCCGCAGUGAAUAGGCCCAGGCGACUGUUUAGCAAAAACACAGGUCUCUGCAAAACCGUAAGGUGACGUAUAGGGGCUGACGCCUGCCCGGUGCUGGAAGGUUAAGAGGAGUGCUUAGCUUCGGCGAAGGUACGAAUUGAAGCCCCAGUAAACGGCGGCCGUAACUAUAACGGUCCUAAGGUAGCGAAAUUCCUUGUCGGGUAAGUUCCGACCCGCACGAAAGGCGCAACGAUCUGGGCACUGUCUCAACGAGAGACUCGGUGAAAUUAUAGUACCUGUGAAGAUGCAGGUUACCCGCGACAGGACGGAAAGACCCCGUGGAGCUUUACUGCAACCUGAUAUGGAAUGUUUG
rnacentral:rRNA from 1 species